AUGUCUCGUCGCGAUUGUUGACGAAAACGCCCUCGUUGCCAUAGUGAAGCCGCAGUCGCCAUUUUUAUUGUGGUUGACCGACGCUUGUGUCAGCCUGUGAGGAAAUGAGUAACAAGGAGUUCUAUGAGCUGACUACAAAUUAGUCGGUGUCCUGUGGAAGCCUCUUACGUUCUAUUUAAUGCUAAUCAUGGCUCUAAAGAGAAAAGUCAACGUGAAAUAGAAUUUGGAGAAAGGCUUCCCGGAACCUAGUGCUACUUUCCGGUGAUCAGCCUAUUUGCUCUAAGUGAAGCGUCAGAAGUAGCGCCCCCAGUUCCCCUUUCUUGAACAGAAGUGGCCCAGGAAACAAGUGGAUGGGAGUCAGAGGACCUAAGUUCAGUGUCUGCGGCCAGCCCAUUUUUGUUUAUGACAAUGAAAUUCUUCAUAUCAAAUGAAAAAAAAAAAAGCUUUGUGAGCAUGGAGAAGAGAUCAAAUCCUCUUCUCUUGAAUUUGCAGAACAUCUCCGAUUGCUUUUCCUCACCUCACCGAAUGCUCCUUCCUAGAGGUAUACAGUUCCCAGCUGUGUGGCCCAGAUGCCUCAAACUCAGCACUUCCCGUGUUCAACUCAACCCAUGUUCUCCCCUUUGCCAUGUAGCUCAGAGAUGCCCCUGCCCGUCUUCCAGUUGUUCAUGUAAGAUUUAGGACUUUAACUCAUGCCCACCAGUUCAUCUUCAUUUUUAAUAGACUUGACUUGAUGCAUAGUUCCCCACAGAACCCACUUCUGUGCAGUGACAUCAUCCUAAACCUGGUCUCUAAAUUGUCCUUCAGAUUUUUGAAACUUUAUUUGAAAGGCAGAGAGACAGAGACAGAGAUCUUUCAUUCACUGGUUCACUCCCCGAAUGGCCACAACAGCUAGGUUUGUGCCACGCUGAAGCCAGGAGCCAGGAACUCAGUGCAGUUCUCCCACAUGGUAGGCAGGGACCCACACGCCCUAGUCAUCAGCUGUUGCCUCCCAGGGAGUACAUUGGCAGGAAACUGGAUUGGAAGCAGAGGAGGGACUAGAACCCAUGCACCUGAUAGGGGAUGCUGACAUCCCAAGCUGUAUCUUGGCCACUAUGCCAAAUGCCCACCCACAAUCUCUGAAUUUUCUUAAAGCUUCCUGCAUGGAUCGCCUGCCUUGGUUUAUUUCAUUGGCAACAUACUAUUAUUUGAAUAAGUUUAUUUUAUGCCAAUGUACUUGUGGUGAAAACCAAUGUAAUCAAGAAUUUUUUGCAGAAGCCUUACUUUAUUAUAUUCCCAGAGUGUCACGUUAUAGUACAUACUCUGUCAAAAUUAGAUAUGUCAUUAUUGUACAUUGACUUUGAAUAAUUCAUAUUGUGGUACCUAGCACUUGUGGCUUUGUAAUAUCUAAAUUUAUGAAAACUUGAGAGAGAAAAGCCAAAUUUAAUAAGAUGUCUGUAUGAAAGGUUCUCACCAUAAUUCAUUACUAGAUUUUUUUUUAUUUGACAUAUAGAGUUAGACAGUGAGAGAGAGAGAGAGAGAGAGAGAGAGAGAGAGAAAGGUCUUCCUUCCAUUGGUUCACCCCCCAAAUGGCCACCUUGGCCUGCGUGCUGUGCCGAUCCGAAGCCAGGAGCCAUGUGCUUCUUCCUGGUCUCCCACACCGGUGCAGGCACCCAAGCACUUGGGCCAUCCUCCACUGCUUUCUCGGGCCACAGCAGAGAGCUGGACUGGAAGAGGAACAGCUGGGACUAGAACCCGGUGCUCAUAUGGGAUGCCUGUGCCGCAGGCGGAGGAUUAACCAAGUAAGCCACAGUGCCAGCCCCUACUAGAUGUUUGUUUUUUUUUUUUUUAAAUCUUUAUUUAUUUAUUUAUUUAUUUGAAAGUCAGAGUUACACAGAGAGAGAAGGAGAGGCAGAGAAAGAGAGAGAGUUCUUCCAUCUGAUGGUUCACUCCCCAAGAAGCUGCAAUGGCCAGAGCUGAGCCGAUCUGAAGCCAGGAGCUUCUUUUGAGUCUCCCACACGGGUACAGGGCCCCAAGCACUUGGGCCGUCUUCCACUGUUUUCCCAGGCCAUAGCAGAGAGCUGGAUCAGAAGUGAAGUGGCCCAUAUGGAUGCCCAUAUGCGAUGCGAUGCCAGCACUGCAGGUGGCAGUUUUACCUGCUACGCCACAGUGCCGCCCCCCCUUUAAAAUACUUAUUUAUUUGAAAGUUAGAGUUACACACACACACACACACAGAGAGAGAUGGUUUUAUUGAAUCUUUUUUAUGUUCUAGAACAGCAUCCCAGCAUGAAUUAUUUUAUAUGGUAUGCUUAUCCUUUUACACAUGAGUCUGUGGUGUUUGAAAUGUAAACAGAGGAAUAAAUAUUCAACCCGUGAGCUAUAACCAGAAGCAUCUUGAUUUUGUCCCUCUGCUCACUGGGGCAGUGUUUCCCUUGUCCAUGCACAGAGAGUCAAGCUAUCUGUAUCUUUUCUUUUUUUCUAAGUAUAUUUAUUUAUUUACUUAUUUAUUUAUGUUUGAAAAGUAGAGUGACAAAAAGAGAGAUAGUGUCUUCAAUAUGUUAUUUCAUUCCCCCAAACACCCACAACAGCCACGGUUGGGCCAGGAUGAAGUCAGGAGCCAGGAACUUCACCUUGGUUGAGCCAGUCAACCCACCUGGAUGACAGAGACCCAGGAUACUUGACCCAUCACCUGCUGUCUCCCAGGGUGUGCAUUAGCAGGAACUUGGAUCGGAAGCUGAGGUGGGACUUAAUCCCAGGCACUCUGAUAGGGGAUGCCAGCCUUGCAAGUGGCAGUCUAACCCCCUGCACCACAAUGCCAGCCCCUACGUGGCCUUCUUUUAUUCUCUUACACUUAACAUACUCACUUCUUUCACUGCAGCUCAUAUUCACGGCUGCUCUCACUGCUCGGACACCUGCCUAACAGCUUAUCCUUCAGACCUCAUGCCAAACAGAAGCUCCUCAGGACUGUUUCCUCUACGUCCACCCCUCUCCCCAACAAGCCAUAUACCUCCCUACCUAGGGGUCUCAUAGCACGAUCUUCUUCUCUUAUAGCACUUCCAAGUCAUUCUUCUAAUAUUUUUUUUUUGAUUAAUGGCUAUCUUUCCCCAAGUGUGUAAAUUCCACGGAGUAAGAGCUGCACUUCCCCUCAUUGUUGUAUUGGUGUGGACCUGCCACAUAUAAUAGGUACCCAUCGAAUAUUUGUACAAGGAGCACAUGAAUUAACAAUGAAUGAAUGAUGCCAGGAGAGAAAAUCCGAGCAUGGCCUGAAAGACUUGUUUUUUUUGUUUGUUUGUUUUUUUGUUGUUGUUUUUUUUGACAGGCAGAGUGGACAGUGAGAGAGAGAGACAGAGAGAAAGGUCUUCCUUUGCCGUUGGUUCACCCUCCAAUGGCCGCCGCACCGCGCUGAUCCGAUGGCAGGAGCCAGGAGCCAGGUGCUUUUCCUGGUCUCCCAUGGGGUGCAGGGCCCAAGUACCUGGGCCAUCCUCCACUGCACUCCCUGGUCACAGCAGAGGGCUGGCCUGGAAGAGGGGCAACCGGGACAGAAUCCCGCGCCCCGACCGGGACUGGAACCCGGUGUGCCUGCACCACUAGGCGGAGGAUUAGCCUAGUGAGCCGCGGCGCCGGCCUGAAAGACUUGGUUCUAAAACACUGCCACUAGAUGGCAGCAGCAACCAGCAGUAAGGUUGCUGAAGCCUCUAAGUACAGAGGUUUGAGUUUCUGAUGCCAGGACUCGCAGGGCAUUUCUUCACUCAUCUCCGUCAGUCCUCCCUUACUGAUAAUAGGGAUAGUUCACAUGUGUGAGUGUGUUAGGCAGCAAAUAAUAGAAACUCCAAGAAACUCUACAGUGGGUCAGAAGACAUAUUUUUCUUUUUUCUUGACCUUUAUUCAGUGUCAUUGUGACAUAUAACCCCACCAGUCCACUUACAGAAUGGAUUCAGACUUAGGAAGAGCAGCAAAAGUGAGACUUUACUAAGGAUCUUGCAGGAUCUGGUGGCUGGUGGGCCAGCACACCUAGUGUGGUUUCAACAAGCGAUUUAUUCCCUGUUAUGCAGGUGCCUCCCCGGGUUCCUCAUUAGCUGACUCUGGAGUUUUACAAUCUUCCUGGCACUUGCUUCAGCUGUUUUGGCCACUCCCAACAUCUGUUUGCCUAUGAACUUUCCCGGUGCAUAUAACGUAGCUGUGAUGCUAGCUAGCUACAUGUCACUUUCACACGUCUGCAAGCAGUUAGGCUAGCCACUUGUCUACUCAAAGCUUUGAAAGUGAACCAAAUGUUUACUGCUCGCAUCAUGAUCAGACUAUUACAUUUAGAAAUCAAUAAACAUGGGUGCAAAAAAACCCCACCAAACUACAUUAAAAACUGUAGUUGGUUGGAACGCUUUAUGCUUUCCACGGAAGAGAAACUAAAAUAACCUGUUACACAGUUAGUCACAAAUACAGCCCUCAAGGGUUUUCUUUCAUUUUGUUUUGCCAAAAACAUGAGUAUUACCUAAAACAUGUCUUUCUCUGUGGCAGCUAGGUUCUGCCACCACCAUGUUUUGCUUAGUUCACAAAUACAUUGCAACUUGUAGCUUCUCUGUCACUUCUUUGGCUGCUCUCUUUUGCUAAGAUUUGUUUCCUGGUGGUUAUCAAAACCUUUUGUCACUGCCAUAGCUUCUGCUGCGGAACUGCCAUCGCCACCUUGGUUUGUGGUAUGGCCAAGUGUUGGUCUCUACCACCAACUGGACAGAGCUUCUGUUGUCAAAGUUGCCUCCUUUCAUAGGUCCAAAAUUUGAAGACUUAACUGCUGAAAUCACGUUAGCUUUCUUUCUUUUUUAUUUUUUUUAUUUUUUUGACAGGCAGAGUGGACAGUGAGAGAGAGAGAGAGAGAGACAGAGAGAAAGGUCUUCCUUUUUGCUGUUGGUUCACCCUCCAAUGGCCACCGUGGCCGGCGCGCUGCGGCCGGCGCACCGCGCUGAUCCGGUGGCAGGAGCCAGGUACUUAUCCUGGUCUCCCAUGGGGUGCAGGACCCAAGCACUUGGGCCAUCCUCCACUGCACUCCCUGGCCUGGAAGAGGGGCAACCGGGACAGAAUCCGGCACCCCGACUGGGACUAUAACCCGGUGUGCCGGCGCCGCAAGGCAGAGGAUUAGCCUAGUGAGCCACGGCACCGGCCCACGGUAGCUUUCAUUCCCUCCACAACUGCUUCUAUCUUUACCAUAUCCGUUGUGGUCAUCCCCACUGCCACCAUAUCCACCACUACCAGGACUGCCACCAAAACCACCAUGACCACUGAAGUUUCCUCCAAAAUCAAAGGAUCGUUCCCACCAAAACCACUUCCACACCUGCCACCGAAGUAUCCAGAACCACUCUGGCGUGCUUGGCUGGACGAAGGACUGGCCACCUCAGGCUCUGACAGAACUUUCCUGACCUCACAGUCGUGGCCGUUCACAGAUGGUGUUUCUGAAUGACGAUCUUAGCCACAGAAUCUUAGUGUCCAAGACGGUAAAAAACAAGCUCUUCUUUUUGCCACUGGCUUGGUAAGUCAUGAUUUCAGACACUUCAGUUUUCCCAUGCUGUUUAAAAUUAUCUCUUAGGCAUUCUUCAGUAUCUUCUUUAAUGUCACCAACAAAGAAACUUUCUUUUUUUUUUUUUUUGAAGAUUUAUUUAUUUGAAAGACAGAGAGGCAGAGAGAGAGAGAGAGAGAGAGAGAGAGAGAGAGGUUUUCCAUCUGCUGAUUCACUCCCCAAACUCCCCAAUUGGCUGAAACGGCUGGAGUUGUGCCAAUCUGAAGCCAGGAACCAGGAACCAGAAGCUUCUUCUGGGUCUCUCAUGUGGGUGCAGGAGCCCAAGGACUUGGGCUAUCUUCCACUGCUUUCCCAGGCCAUAGCAGAGAGCUGGAUCAGAAGUGGAACAGCUGGGUCUUGAACUGGUGCCUAUAUGGGAUGCCAGCACUGCAGGUGGCGGCUUUACCUGCUAGGCUACAGUGUAGGCCUCAACAAAGAUACUUUCACAGUUAAGUGGAUACCUGGUCUUUGGGAAUUGUCACUUGAGAGAGCCCUCCUUGGCUCCACAGCCCUCCAUCCUUACAUUCAUGGCAGUGUCCACCUCCCCUCAAGGGAAAGCCCCUGGAACACUUGAAGUUUGGAUUCCCAUUACCAUACAGUCCAUGAGUCCUCUCCAUCAGUCAGAAUGGAGAACACUCAGACUCUUGUCAGUCAAACCUCAGCUCUCUCGUGAAGAACUUCUUCAGCUGUCUGGGCUCUUUAGGAGACUGACUGACACAUGACAGCAGUGAGAAUAGACGCUUUCACAAUGUCUUCCUUGGUGCAGUCCACAGACAAAAAGGAGAAAGCUAAGCAGCAUACCCAAGAGAGGUAGGUUCUCCUAACAUAAAAAGAGGUUCAGGUUAGUGUGGAUGCCCAGGGAAAUCCUCAGUAAGCCAAGCUCCUCCUAACCUCCCUGGGACCCUCUUACAUGUGUCACUUCAAGAUGGCCACUGUGCCUCUGAGGCUUCCUUGGCACCUGAGAACAGAAAGAAGCAGGAAGUGUCUGUCCCAUGGACUUUGCCUACCACUGUGGGACAAAGCAUGUUCUCAUGGCAGUCCUGACUGCCGGGGAGGCUGGAAAAUACGUUGGUUUUAGUUUUUGGCCCUGUAAUUGAGGAAACAUAAAGAAGAGGGAGUGGACAUUACUUGUUAAGUGGCCUGUCUCUAGGCUGUGACAAAGCACCUGGCUCUGGAGAGGGAGUUAGAGCAAAGAUCAUCAUCUAUAAAAGUUUUAAUAAUGUAGUUGAGCCAAAAAAAAAAAAAAAAAAAAACCAGUUGAGCUGACUCUUGUUGCCUUCACCUUCACCCAGGAAGUCUUACAUAUGAGUAUUUCUGAAAAUUCUGAUUCAGAUUGAAGAUCACUGACUAUAGGAAGUCCUUUUUCUCUCUCAUCUGUGUUUCUUUCUCUCUUUUUUAGGACAACUUACAAAAAUAAGCUAAUAAAGGUUUUAAAUUAUUUUAAAUAGUGGAACUGAGGAAAACAACAUUUAGCAAGUUAUUCACAGUGUACUAGGCACCAAUUUCAAUGCUUUAUACCAAAUUUCCAAAAUUUCUGUGAAAUAUGUGCUAUUAUUACUCCUUUUUUUAAAAAAAGAUUUAUUUAUUUAUUUGAAAGGCAGAGUUAGAGAGAUGGGGGAGAGAGAGAGAGAGAGAGAGAGAGAGAGAGAAUGAAUCAAGAUCUUCCAUCUGCUGGUUCACUGCUCAGAUGGCUACAAUAGCCAGCACUAGGCCGGGUCAAAGCCAGGAGCUAGGAACUUCUUCCAGGUCUCAUAGUAACAUUAGCAGGGAGCAAGAUCAGAAGUGGAGCAACCAGGGCAUGAACUGGUGCCCAUAUGGGAUACUGACAUCACAGGUGGCAGCUUAACCCACUAUACUGCAAUGCCAGCCCCUACUAUUAGUCCUUUUACAAAAUUGCUUUUAAUUGUGGUAAAGAUCACAAGAUAUAAAAUUUAUCUUCAACCAUGUUUAAGUGAACAGUUUAGUAGUGUUAAUAUAUUCAUAUUGUUGUGCAACAAUCUCGAGAUCUCCAGAACUUUUCAUUUUGCAAAAUUGAAAUUCUGCACUCAGUAUUUAGUGACUCCCCUUUUACUCCUUCUCUAAAUCUUUAAACAUUUCCUUUGGGAGUGUCACCAGCCUGGUAGCCCAUUAACACUCUGGUAAUGCAGACUCAGCACCUGAUAAUACAAGUGCCUUCGUUGUCCCUGGCAUCUGUGACUCUAUUUUGUGUUUCUGGGAGUUUCACUACUGUGGAUUCCUUCUAAGUAACUUACACAGUGUCUUUUUGUGACUGGCUUGUUUUGCUUGGCAUAAUGUUCUCAAGGUUCAUCCAUGUUGUGGCAUAAGACAGUAUUUCCUUCUUUUAAAGACUGAACAGUAAUAUUCAUUGUAUGUGUAUAUCAUGUUUUUCUCCAGUGAUGGAUGCUAGUUUUGCUUCUACUUCUUGACUAUGAAGAGUGCUGCAAGGAAUGUGGCCAUCCAGUGAACCCUGUGUUAGAGAAAAGGACAUUGAAGUCCCCGAGAGGCUGUCAGCCAGCUCGGAAGUAGUAGAGCCAGGAGUCACAUCCAGAUUGGCUGCCUUCUGAGUCUUCAUUUUUAACCACUACUGCUACUUUCAACACAAUUUAGGAACACAGGUUUCUAGGUGACUCCAAAAUAAUGCUGUGUAUGGUCCCUAUGGGUGAAGAAGGGAAAGGUUAAUUUUUCUUCCUCUGUAUAUUUUGGGGAUGUCACAGCUUUGAUUCCAAUGUCUGCAUAUAUGUAAGGAAGUACAAAAUAUGUUAUCACUAGAACUCUUUGCCACAAUUUGUAAAUAAAAUGUAUAGGUACAUAGGUUUGGAAGCUCUUUGGAUGAUGCCGGCUAAUAGCCUGGGACAGUGAGUACAGUGGACUCAAGGCACAGAUGCACUUGUAUUACCAGAUGUUGUGUUUGUAUUACUGGGGGGAACCUUAAUGGGCUACUGGGCUGGUGUACUCCCAGUGAAAUCUUUAGAGGCUUCACACCUCCUCUGGCUGUGGUGAGAUUUCUGUGAGCAUUCUCCCCAUCUUCCUGCUGCACACUGAAUGCUUCUCACCUGCCUGGUCAAUCCAUUCACCCUAGGCUUUGGGAAACCAUUGAGAAAAGAUGACCUCUCUCAGCCCGGAGAGAAGGAUGAGGGCACUCCUACUCCUUGUCUGCACCUAGACUUCCUUCACCUUUGAACUCAACUCGAGCAUCAUCUCCUUCCUCCUUCCCCCUUCCCCAAUCAUUCUCUCCCAUCCCCUAUCACACCCUCAAAUCUAAAGGAAAUCAUGCCUUGUGGGGAGCAACUGGGAGCAACUCGGACUAGACUAAGUUACUGGAAUUAAGACUUAUUCUAUGCAUCUGCUCUCCCACAAUAUGGCGCUGGGAGAGGAGAAAACAGCUUCUACGCAGCUGCCUCUUGCCAACUUGAGUGAUGACCUCCAGGAGCUGAUCCUGCUCCUGAUUGGAGGAGAGCAGCGUACUCGGCGUGUGGGUAGCAGAGUUGGGAUUGGCGGAAGAGGACUAUAAAGGAGGAGAGAGACAACAUGCACCAGGAACAUCUAAGGGGAACAUCUAUCUGAAGGAACACCUGUGCAGCCCCCGAGAGAGCCGGCCAGCGGUGUGCCGCUCCCCCGCGGAAGUGGGGAAAGUGGCCAAGGGGAACCGCCUUCCACGGAGGUGGAAGGGAUGGUAGCCAACCCGGGAAGAACCAGCAGCAAACCCGGGGAGGGCCGAGCAGACGAAAGAACAACACAGGGUCCUGUGUCGUUCCUCCACGAAGACGGGGAGCGACAAUGCCUCUUUCUUAGUGUGCCACUAAAAUCUCUGUUCAUUGCUCACAGAUGGGGGCAGAUGCCAAAGUACAGAGAUGCAUGUCAAGAAUGAAGAUCCAUGGCUUUUGUUCUGCCUUGACCCCCACGGCAGUGCCCGGGUGAUGAGGUGCACGAUAAGUAACCAUUCAUCAAUCUGUGACGUCUCAGAUUUAAGGUCACCAGAGCUGCUUCAGCAUCGCGAGCAUCCUCGAACAGCAUGAGCAGAUCCUGGAUGGCGAGUGCAGAGAUCAAGUGGAUCACACACAUCAACUCUCGACUGUAGCGACCAAACGUGAGCCACACAUCUUCAGAGGUGGUGUUGCCCGCCACGUUCCUGACCACGAGAGCUUCCUGCUAGUGGCCUGGGAAAGCAGCAGACAGCCCAAAUGCUUGGCCCCUGUGCCCAUGUGGGAGAUCCAGAGGAACCUCCUGGCUCCUGGCUUCAGAUCAGCUUCAGAUCCGGCUGUUGUGGCCAUUUGGGGAGUGAACCAGCCGAUGGAAGACCUUUCUGUCUCUUCUGUUUCUCAAAUAAGCGAGAAAACAGAGGGGAACUAAUUGCUCUACAUCAUGUAGCUUGUAAGUGGAAGACCUGCAAAAUUUCAAAUCCAUGAACUAAAAUGCAGAGAAUUACAAGGGAAGACAGUCACAUUGAAUUUUAACAAAAUAUUGUACUAAAAUGCUCAUUUUGUCAUCAGGAUUUAAGAAGAAACAAACAGAAACCAAGGUUCAGAGCAAUAAGCACCAUUCCCAAGUGGAUGAGAAACUCACUCUGGGGAAAGCCAGUUGCCAGGUGAGAAAUUUGCCAUGCUGGAGGGGCUGCAUGAAUAUGCUGUGGUUCACGUCUGAGUUUUUGGCCAACCAUGAGCCAGCAUCCACACUCAGUCACAUGGUGAGCCAUCCUGGACAUCCAGCCCCUUGAACCUUCAAUGACAGCACUCACAGAUGAUACCCGACGGCCACUCCAUAAGACUUCAAGAAAGAACUGCCCAAGCCAGCCUUUCCUGGAUUUCUGAGCCACAAAAUAAAACUGGGUACUGAAGCCAUGACCUU